rnacentral:rRNA from 1 species
CCUACGGGGGGCAGCAGUGGGGGAUAUUGCACAAUGGGGGGAACCCUGAUGCAGCGACGCCGCGUGGGUGAAGAAGCGCCUCGGCGCGUAAAGCCCUGUCAGCAGGGAAGAAAAUGACGGUACCUGAAGAAGAAGCCCCGGCUAACUACGUGCCAGCAGCCGCGGUAAUACGUAGGGGGCAAGCGUUAUCCGGAUUUACUGGGUGGAAAGGGGGCGCAGACGGCGAUGCAAGCCAGGAGUGAAAGCCCGGGGCCCAACCCCGGGACUGCUCUUGGAACGGCGUGGCUGGAUUGCAGGAGGGGCAGGCGGAAUUCCUGGUGUAGCGGGGAAAUGCGUAGAUAUCAGGAGGAACACCGGUGGCGAAGGCGGCCUGCUGGACUGCAACUGACGUUGAGGCCCGAAAGCGUGGGGAGCAAACAGGAUUAGAUACCCCAGUAGUC